rnacentral:lncRNA from 1 species
UAUCCCUCCGCCCCCUUCCCGACACCCUCCAGGAGAGCUGUGCUUGCCGCAGUCUGCGCAGCCCCUGCCCGUUUGGUGCAGAGGCGUGGGGGCAGGACACAGCUCUGCCAUUCCACUCGCGCUCAAAGCAGUGAAAGCCCAGUGAAAGGAUCUGCGGAGGACAGAGAACAGCCGGGAGCAGGAGAGGGACGCGGGGGAGCCCGGGGACCUGGGCUGUGCCCCUGGCCAGGCAAGUGGGGGUGUGUCAUGGGCUCCAGGCUGUCGCGCAUUGCGGACAGCUGCCUGGCCCUGACAGUCCAGUGGAGGCAAACAGGUCACAGCUGCUCCCUGGAGUGUGUGCUGUGCCUGUAGACCCAAGGCGGUGGGCAGAAGGAGGCGGGA